UGGAUUUAUAAUUAGAAAGAUCAUAUCAUAGGGAACAUGUGUACUAAGUUUCAAGUUGAUUGGACUUCAACUUCUUCAAAAACUACCUUGACCAAAAACUUUAACCUGAAGCGAACGGACGGACGGACGAACGGAGGCACAGACCAGAAAACAUAAUGCCCCUCUACUAUCGUAGGUGAAGCAUAAAAAACUAUGCCAACAUUUAAGAAUGUAAAAAUUGUGGAACGGUAAAUGUUAAAACAUUUGAUUGCAUUACAUCGAAGUUUAGUUUGGUUUUAAUUUACUAAUAACAAAAUGGUCCUUGAUGGAUUUUUAAAUACGGUUUUGGAACUG
rnacentral:lncRNA from 1 species